GAUGCAGAACGACGCUAGCCACGCCCAGGACUCCGAGCGAGGAGCGUCGGCAGCGGCCCAAGGCUUAAAGGUGGCAGGACUUGAUGGUGUCUUGGCAUCUGUUGCAUACUCACGAGAUUUCAUGGGAGUAAAGGAUGAUGAGACCGAGAGGGACAAGGAUCUGCAGUGUUGAGUGCUGGGGGGAAGACCUUAUAUAACAGGCCUGGUUUCUAAUAAGGAGAGGCAGAAACAUGGCAACAUGCAAAGCCCACGUGGAGAAGAGACCCUAGGAGAAAUCAACCCUGUCGGCAUCUCCGUUUGGGAUUCCCACCUGCUGGAACUUUGAGGUAUGGGGCUGGAGAGAUGGCUCAGAGGUUAAGAGCACUGACUGCUCUUCCAGAUGUCCCGAG